GAUGAACGCUGGCGGCGUGCCUAAUACAUGCAAGUCGAGCGAACAGACGAGGAGCUUGCUCCUCUGACGUUGGCGGCGGACGGGUGAUUCACACGUGUAUAACCUACCUAUAAGACUGGGAUAACAUCGGGAAACCAUAUCUAAGACCGGAUAAUAUAUUGAACCUCAUUGUUCAAUCGUUAGAUACGGUUUUUCUGUCACUUAUAGCUGAAUCCGCGCCGGAUUAGCUAGUUGUUAACGUAACGGCUUAACGAGGCUGGGAUGGGUAACCGACCUGAGAGGGAGGUCCGCCACACUGGAACUGAGACGGGGCACCGACUCCGAGGGGGGGCAGCAGUAGAGACUCUUCCGGGAUGCGGGAGAGGCUGAUGGAGCAAAGCCGCGUGAGGGAUGAAGGUCCUCGGCUGGGAAAACUAUGUUAUCAGGGAAGAACAAAUGUGCAAGUAACUAUGCAGAUAUUGACGGUACCUAGACAAAAAGCCCCGGCUAACUCCGUG
rnacentral:rRNA from 1 species